rnacentral:rRNA from 1 species
UACGGAGGGGGCUAGCGUUGUUCGGAAUUACUGGGCGUAAAGCGCACGUAGGCGGCUUUGUAAGUUAGAGGUGAAAGCCCGGGGCUCAACCCCGGAACUGCCUUUAAGACUGCAUCGCUUGAAUCCAGGAGAGGUGAGUGGAAUUCCGAGUGUAGAGGUGAAAUUCGUAGAGAUCGGGAGGAAUACCAGUGGCGAAGGCGGCCUUCUGGACUGACACUGACGCUGAGGCGCGAAAGCCAGGGGAGCAAACGGG